rnacentral:rRNA from 1 species
GUGCCUCCCCCGCGAGCACCCUUGGUUUCCCGACAACGUCGGGGCGGCUUGGCGUUCUUUUAUCCCGGCGACUUGAAACUCGCCCGGGCUAACAGANGCAUGGCUUAACCAACGGAACAAAAAACCGGCGUGAAAACGCCAAGGAACAUGAAAGAGAGUGCGCUCUUUUGGUGUCAGCACUGCUGCGCCAGGACGGGCGUUGUCUUCUUGAUGAGUUUAUAAUGACUCUCGGCAACGGAUAUCUCGGCUCUUACAUCGAUGAAGAACGUAGCAAAAUGCGAUACUUGGUGUGAAUUGCAGAAUCCCGUGAACCAUCGAGUCUUUGAACGCAAGUUGCGCCCGAAUCCUUUUGGUCGAGGGCACGUCUGCCUGGGUGUCACGU